CUGUCUCUUGCUUCAAGUGUUUGGACAGAACAG
rfam:Myotis davidii contig38291, whole genome shotgun sequence.